UACAGAGGGGGCAAGCGUUAUUCGGAAUUAUUGGGCGUAAAGGGCGCGUAGGCGGCUUUGCAAGUGACGGGUGAAAUCCCUCGGCUUAACCGAGGAACUGCCUGUCAGACUGCAUGGCUUGAGACCAGGAGAGGUGAGUGGAAUUCCCAGUGUAGCGGUGAAAUGCGUAGAUAUCAGGAAGAACACCCGUGGCGAAGGCGGUUCUCUGGGACGGUACUGACGCUGAGACGCGAAAGCGUGGGGAGCGAACAGG
rnacentral:rRNA from 1 species